rnacentral:rRNA from 1 species
UACGUAGGGGGCAAGCGUUAUCCGGAUUUACUGGGUGUAAAGGGAGCGUAGACGGCAGUGCAAGUCUGGAGUGAAAGGCGGGGGCUCAACCCCCGGACUGCUCUGGAAACUGUACGGCUGGAGCGCAGGAGAGGUAAGUGGAAUUCCUAGUGUAGCGGUGAAAUGCGUAGAUAUUAGGAGGAACACCAGUGGCGAAGGCGGCUUACUGGACUGUAACUGACGUUGAGGCUCGAAAGCGUGGGGAGCAAACAGG